GAAAUGCGAUAAGUAGUGUGAAUUGCAGAAUUGAGUGAAUCAUCGAAUCUUUGAACGCACAUUGCGCCCCUCGGUAUUCCGUGGGGCAUGCCUGUUCGAGCGUCAUCUACACCCUCAAGCUCUGCUUGGUGUUGGGCGUCUGUCCCGCCUCCGCGCGCGGACUCGCCCCAAAUGCAUUGGCAGCGGUUCCUUGCCCCCCUCUUUGCGCAGCACAUUGCCAUUCGAGGCGGCGGCGGCCCGCGUCCAACAAGCUCAACCCCCCCGUCUUUGACCUCGGAUCAGGUAGGGAUACCCGCUGAACUUAAGC
rnacentral:misc_RNA from 1 species